rnacentral:tRNA from 1 species
GCCUGGGUGGCGUAGUGGUUAGCGCAUCUGCCUAGUGAGCAGGAGACCCGCGUUCGAACCCCGGGCUUGGUA